CGACAACUGCCGUCGAGCUUCUGUUCCACAUGGAGCUAGUAAGAAAAUAGCUUUCCUGUGCCGACGAGACCUUUCGUCCGAUACCCAGGAUCAUCAGACCAGCUGAGAUUGGACAGACACAAUAUAAAAUACGUCUUUUUAGAUCUUCUUCCUGCUCUUGAUUCCAGCAGCCAGCCAAUAGUUAUAUGGAUCAGAAGUCUGGAGAGUUUGGUAACAUAAGCACUGUGAUGUGAUUAAAGAAUUUUAUGUUUCUCAA